CUUCCAGUAGCACCUUAGAGACCAACUAAGUUUGUUAUUGGUAUGAGCUUUCGUGUGCAUGCACACUUCUUCUUGUGCAUACACAUGAAAGCUCAUACCAAUAACAAACUUAGUUGGUCUCUAAGGUGCUACUGGAAG